UGGCCACAUUACGCUGAAAAACCGGUUCCCAUACGAUUACCGAAGUUAAGCAACAUUGAGUCUGGUUAGUACUUAGAUGGUGGACGAC